rnacentral:rRNA from 1 species
AUCCUGGCUCAGGACGAACGCUGGCGGCGUGCCUAAUACAUGCAAGUCGAGCGGACUUGAUGGAGUGCUUGCACUCCUGAAGGUUAGCGGCGGACGGGUGAGUAACACGUAGGCAACCUGCCCUCAAGACUGGGAUAACUACCGGAAACGGUAGUUAAUACCGGAUAAUUUAUUUCGCAGCAUUGUGGAAUAAUGAAAGACGGAGCAAUCUGUCACUUGGGGAUGGGCCUGCGGCGCAUUAGCUAGUUGGUGGGGUAAUGGCUCACCAAGGCGACGAUGCGUAGCCGACCUGAGAGGGUGAUCGGCCACACUGGGACUGAGACACGGCCCAGACUCCUACGGGAGGCAGCAGUAGGGAAUCUUCCGCAAUGGGCGAAAGCCUGACGGAGCAACNCCGCGUGAGUGAUGAAGGUUUUCGGAUCGUAAAGCUCUGUUGCCAAGGAAGACCGUCUUCUAGAG